AGGAUCAUUAUUGAAAUAAACCUGAUGGGCUGUUGCUGGUUCUCUAGGGAGCAUGGUGCACGCCUUGUCAUCUUUAUAUCUCCACCUGUGCACUCUUUGUAGACCUGAAAAGGUCUAUGUUGAUUCUUCAUUUACCCCAAUGUAUGUUAGUAAGAAUGUUGUGCAUAUAAAAUCUAUACAACUUUCAGCAACGGAUCUCUUGGCUCUCGCAUCGAUGAAGAACGCAGCGAAAUGCGAUAAGUAAUGUGAAUUGCAGAAUUCAGUGAAUCAUCGAAUCUUUGAACGCACCUUGCGCUCCUUGGUAUUCCGAGGAGCAUGCCUGUUUGAGUGUCAUUAAUAUAUCAACCCUCUCUUGUUGAGUGGUUUGGAUGUGGGGGGGUUUGCUGGCCUUGUUAAAGGGGUUCAGCUCUCCUGAAAUGCAUUAGCAGAAUGACCUGUUUCAUUGGUGUGAUAACUAUCUACGCUAUUGAAUGUGAGGGAAGUUCAGCUUUCUAACAGUCCUUGGACAAUUUAUCAUUUUAUGUGACCUCAAAUCAGGUAGGACUACCCGCUGAACUUAAGCAUAUCAAUAAGCGGAGGAAAAGAAACUAACAAGGAUUCCCCUAGUAACUGCGAGUGAAGCGGGAAAAGCUCAAAUUUAAAAUCUGGCAGUCUUUUGGCUGUCCGAGUUGUAAUCUAGAGAAGUGUUAUCCGCGCUGG
rnacentral:rRNA from 1 species